rnacentral:rRNA from 1 species
UACGAAGGGGGCUAGCGUUGCUCGGAAUCACUGGGCGUAAAGCGCACGUAGGCGGAUCGUUAAGUCGGGGGUGAAAUCCUGGAGCUCAACUCCAGAACUGCCUUCGAUACUGGCGAUCUUGAGUCCGGGAGAGGUGAGUGGAACUCCGAGUGUAGAGGUGAAAUUCGUAGAUAUUCGGAAGAACACCAGUGGCGAAGGCGGCUCACUGGCCCGGUACUGACGCUGAGGUGCGAAAGCGUGGGGAGCAAACAGG